rnacentral:rRNA from 1 species
CCGGAGAUGGAUUCUGAGACAUGAAUCCAGGCCCUACGGGGCGCAGCAGGCGCGAAAACUUUACAAUGCGGGAAACCGUGAUAAGGGAACACCGAGUGCCAGCAUCAUAUGCUGGCUGUCCAGAUGUGUAAACUACAUCUGUUAGCAAGGACCGGGCAAGACCGGUGCCAGCCGCCGCGGUAACACCGGCGGCCCGAGUGGUGACCGUUAUU